rnacentral:rRNA from 1 species
AAGACCCUACGGGAGGCAGCAGUGGGGAAUAUUGGGCAAUGGGCGCAAGCCUGACCCAGCAACGCCGCGUGAAGGAAGAAGGCCCUCGGGUUGUAAACUUCUUUUAUUCGGGACGAAACAAAUGACGGUACCGAAUGAAUAAGCCACGGCUAACUACGUGCCAGCAGCCGCGGUAAUACGUAGGUGGCAAGCGUUAUCCGGAUUUACUGGGUGUAAAGGGAGCGUAGACGGCCAGACAAGUCUGAAGUGAAAAUCCAGCGCUUAACGUUGGAAGUGCUUUGGAAACUGCAGGGCUGGAGUGCAGG